rnacentral:rRNA from 1 species
GACGGAGGAUGCAAGCGUUAUCCGGAAUGAUUGGGCGUAAAGCGUCCGCAGGUGGCAGUUCAAGUCUGCUGUCAAAGACCGGGGCUUAACUUCGGAAAGGCAGUGGAAACUGAACAGCUAGAGUAUGGUAGGGGCAGAGGGAAUUCCUGGUGUAGCGGUGAAAUGCGUAGAUAUCAGGAGGAACACCGGUGGCGAAGGCGGGUCUCGUGGGCCGAUGACUGACGCUGAGGAGCGAAAGCGUGGGGAGCGAACAGG